rnacentral:tRNA from 1 species
GUUUAGUGGUAAAACCUCAGCCUUCCAAGCUGAUGUUGGGGGUUCGAUUCCCCCUACCC